UGAGCAGACCAGGUGGUCGCGGGCCCGAAAGGGCCUGAGGAAAGUCCGGGCUCCACGGGCAGGGUGCUGGGUAACUCCCAGGAGGGGUGACCCUACGGAAAGUGCCACAGAAACCGUACCGCCUCUGCCUCGCGCAGGGGUAAGGGUGAAAAGGUGAGUUAAGAGCUCACCAGCAGCGGGGCGACUCGCUGGCUGGGCAAACCCCACCCGGAGCAAGACCAAAUAGGAGGGACGCCGGUUGUUCUUGGAGCUAUGCCCCAGGAAAACCGGCAGGGCUGCCCGGCCUCACCCUCGGGUUGGUCGCUGGAGGUGAUGGGAAACCGUCGCCCAAGAUGGAUGGCCACCACCCACCGUAUGGUGGGCACAGAACCCGGCUUACAGGUCUGCUCGGGCU
rnacentral:RNase_P_RNA from 1 species